GACUGCAUGGCGCAACGGCAGCGCGUUCGACUCCAGUAAUUCAAUUGGCAAUCGAAAGGUUAUCCGUUCAAAUCGGGUUGUGGUCA